UACGAAGGGGGCUAGCGUUGCUCGGAAUUACUGGGCGUAAAGGGCGCGUAGGCGGCACUGUUAGUCAGGCGUGAAAUUCCUGGGCUCAACCUGGGGACUGCGCUUGAUACGGCAGAGCUUGAGGAUGGAAGAGGGUCGCGGAAUUCCCAGUGUAGAGGUGAAAUUCGUAGAUAUCGGGAGGAACACCGGUGGCGAAAGCGCUCUACUGGGCCAUAACUGACACUCAGGGACGAAAGCUAGGGGAGCGAAUGGG
rnacentral:rRNA from 1 species